AGGAUUUUGAUAUUGAUCCUGAUGCUGAUGGUGACCAAGUAGAUGAACUUUUAGCAGCAUGUGUCAAACAAGCUGUCCAAUCACAACCUUGAUAACAACUGGUAUCAUAGGGAGUUAACCAAUCAGAAAUAGUGACUCUGAAACAUGUGACCAAUGAAACCGAAGAGUUUGAAAUGACUGGUCAAAAAGAAUCUAAUAUCAUAUGAAAGUUCUUUGAAGAAUUGUUAUUUUAUGAAGAGAAACAUUUUACUAGUGAACUUGAACUAUUUGUUAUCUUCUUUAAAUUGAAUUGUUUACCUGAGGCAAAAAUUUGUUUUUACAGGAAAGAAUCUUCUCCAGACUGAUAGUUUGAAAUAUGCUUCCAUAUUUGAAUAAACCUUAAUCUUGUUUGGAAACAAAUAUGACAUUAUAUGAUGUAAUGUUCUUCAGCACCUGUGUGACAUAAGUCCAUUUUACCUUAUAUGAAUAAAAAUUUCUACAACAUGCUUUAUAAUGUGGAGACAACCAAAUUCUUAAGUCUAAUGUGCCCCAGUCCCAUUUUGUGCAAAAAAGGGGAAGGUCAUUGGUUUUUCUCUGGGCACUCCGGCUUUGUCCACCCAUAAAAACUGACCCCCAUGAAAUGUCCCAAAUUGAGUGUUAAAACACCAACAAGCAUUCCAUCUUGCGCAAAAAAAGGUAUACUUUUCAUGUGUUAUACAAUGUAUUAAAAAAGUAUAGAAGUAUACAUGUGCUUUAUGAAAAUGGUUAAACUUGAAAGAAUCGUUGAAAGUUCAUACCAGGGGAAGGGUUUAAACAAUCGAGUGUAAGGAUUUCAUACAAAGGCAUUGUGUAAAUGUUAACCUACAUUAUUUCACUUAAUAAUGGGACUGAUUAGUCUAUAUGAACAUUUAUAUGAACAUUUUAAUGAGGAAAUAUAUUUUUUAUCCAUUGUUAAGUAUAUCCCAAAUCUACAUCAUUUAUUUGUCAUAUUUUAAUAAAAUCAGUCUUAAUUUGUUUUAUUAAAAAUGCCAUUUUCAUUUUAUCUGAAUUUAUCUGAACAUAAAGUUUCUGUUAAAAGAUGGAAGGAAAUGAUGAAAGAAAUUGUCAAAAUGUUGCAUGACAUUAGAAUCAGAAAUAGAGUCAGAACUUUUGCAUAGAUUCCUAUUGCUUGCAUAGGAACAAGAGAAUGUGUAAAUAUAUGUAUGUCCUUAUAAGGCCAUACAGGAGUUUAUCACCGUCCCCCAUAUCACUUACAUUGUGUCGAUCAUUCCUUGUGUUUAUCAUUAUAUAUAGCAUUUGCCUCUAGUUUAUCCUAAACAUGUAUGAAAUAUUUGCGACUGGACAUGAAGCAUGUCAGUCUUUUUUUAAGAGUAACUCUGAUGACAUGUUGAAACAGAUGUAUGGCAAAAUUUUUUGAAGUAAUGCGUUAUUCAGCAAGAAUUGCAGACAUUUUGUACAUCUGGUUAUUUUUUGCGUCAAGUUUUAUUCACUGUCUGUGCCUUUGAAGGGGCUUUUUAAAUCAUUCAGUCCACAUUUCUAAACCAUUCUAUAAUGUACAGUGAGCGAGAUGUUUCAAUAAUAAAGUUAAUUUUGCAUUUAAAUGCCUACAUUGAAUCAUAGCAAAACAUUGAGGCAUAAAAUGUCUUGAUAUACAGUCUGCACGCAGUCUUUUAAGAGUUCUUGCACCAAAUUGCCACCCUAAUACUUUUUCCCGUGAAAAAAACCCAUUAUUUGUCCAAAUAUCAUCUGGUUGCAUCAAAUUGGUACUGUUAAUGAUGGUUUUAAAAACCCAGUGUUCCCAUCAAGGAUAAAAAAUAUAAGAUUAUUGAAAUUGAGUGUUUUCACAAGGCAGUCAUGGUUUGCAUAUUAGAAAGAAAAGGGAAUGAAGGCAAUGGUCAUAUAGUAUUAAGUUUGUCAUUUGCAUAUUGUAAAUUCAUUAUUAUCAUGAAUAUUCAUGUAGAGUUAAUAUGUUGUGUUAUAAUUUUUUAGCAGUAGAACAUUUAACAUUGAUGUAAAAAAUAUCAUUUAUCAUUAUUAAUUAUGUAAUUCUAUUUUUUGUCUGUGAGAAAAAAAAAUUGGAAAGGUGAAAGUAAAUGAUCCAUGGUGUAAUCUGUAUAUCUGAUGAGAGUUAAGUACUAUAUAUAUAUAGGCUGUUUUCUUUAAAACAAAAUCUGUUAUGAUACCAUAUAACUUAGUGCUAAUAAAAUUUUGCACCUUGUACAAAUGUAUGUGAAAGGUUUUUUACACAUCGUCUAAGACAAAUAGAUAAAUAAACCCCAUACAAAAAUUAUAUACCUCAAUUUAUACUGUUUCAGUAAGGACAUUCUUAUGAUGUUAGGCUUAGUAUUCAACAAAGAACAUUUUUAAAAACGAAAUUGCUUAUAUUACAUAAUCUAAAUGUCAUGUUGCAUAUCCUACAAUUAUUAUUAGAUGUAGUUUUGCUUGUCUGGGAAAUAAUGAGGAUUAAAUUCAUUUCAAUACCAUAUCAUUUUAGAGGGAAAAGGAUGUCAAAUUACUAAGCUUAGAAGUGAAUGCACCACCGUUUUUGACAUUCAAAAAGUGAGCGAUCUAAUUUGCAUGGUCAUUAUUUUAAUAUUUUGCUAACCUGCCUUGACCAACUUAUGUGGGAUUUUAUUGAGCCUUGUUUUUGGACUAUGAAAUGAGAAAUGCUUACAGGUAUCAUCAUUUUAAUGUCAAAUGAAAAAAACCAUGUCUUCCUAUUAUAGGGUUUAUACAUUGUAAUCCAACAACAGGUGAUUGAAUAAUUGUAUAUAUAAGAAGUACAGUACUACUUUUAAUACAUUAAUUUCAAUGUUAAUUGGGAAGAGCUGACAUUUUUAUUAUGUUUUUAUUAAAAUUGUUUGAGAUACAAUUAAGCUCCCACCUUUGUAUAUAUUGAAAUGUUUUAUGCCAUGAUUGCUAUAUGUUUUAGCAAUGACCAAACAUUGUUAUCUUUUAUGUACCCAAAUUUCUUUUAUCUGUACCUGUUAUCUGUACCUGAUGUGAUCUUUACAUGAUUGGACCAGCUUUUAAAAUUCUCUUUGCAAUGCUUGAUAAUAUGGUUUUACUGGCUUUGAAAAAAGGUCAGGUUUUUCGGUCAUAAAUUUUACACAGUAUAAUAUUGAGGGGAAAAUAACAUUGGCUAUGUUGUUGUAUGACUUGCAUUCGUUUAUCCUUUGGAUAUUCCUCACAAUAAGAUUUUCUUUAUUCUUGAAAAUCCAGAAAUCAGAACAAUUGCAUAGUAUGAAUAUAUUGCUCUAAAGUCCAACUAUAUAGAUAUCUCAAUGAAGCCAUAUACACACAAAUAAACUUUCAACCUGGAUUGUAUUGACAUAUUCAAUUACUAAUAUUGGUAUAAAUGUAUUUUUAGACUAUAUACUGAGGGUGAAGUUGAAAUCUUAUAUAAAUUCUUUUAUUUUUGUAAGUACAAAAUGUCAGAAUUUUUGUUGAGUCAGGAAUUUAGUUUUUCAUGGAUACUUGACUUCAUUAUCUGCAGACAAACCUUAAGAUAUAUAUUUUGGUGUAACCCCAUAUCCACACAAUCCUCAAACACAAAAAAAUACCCCACAAGUUACAAUGAAUCCACAGUCAUAUUUUAACUAGUUUGUCAUGAAAUCUUUCAUCAAGUAAUAUAAAUAGAAGAGGUGACAUGUUUCCAUGGUAACAUUUUUCAAACAUUGCUAUGUAUUGUACCAAUAAUGAAAUGAGACAUCAAGAGAUGUUUGACAGAUUUUAAUGGGUUGUAGAUUAUAGGGUCAGUUUCAUCAUCUUGCAUUCAUCUUUGUCAUUUCAUUGUCAAUAAAUAAAAAUUGAUAAUAACAU
rnacentral:lncRNA from 1 species